GCCAGGUAAGGAGAAGAAGUGGAAGAGUAGGAAGAAACCAACAGCAAAGACGUUAGAUAGAAGAAGCAUAGAAACAAACAAACAAUAUGUGUAACGCACCCGCGGGUAAAAAACGGAAAGAAAAGGGUGGGCCUGAGAAGGCGAGAAGAAAAAAAUUGGGUAGGGACCGUGAGAAGGACGAAGAGAAAAAAAAUUAGACGGAAUUUAGAUACUGAAGACCGCUAAAUGUCGCAAACUAACUGAAAUAUUUAGCAGCACAGCCAGCAGCAGCACCUCGCAGUUAAUAUUAGCAGCAGUGAAGAAGUGAUCCAGACAGCUAUGCAGCAACAUGCCACCAGUGAUGAUGAUGAGGGACAGAAAGAUGAGCUGGUUCCACAGGCAGAGCCAGGGCAACCCGUAUCCAGAUCAGAUGUUGGACCUGCACCUAGUGAUGACCACAACAGCCCUAAAUAUCAGUGGAGACCAUGACAACUGGACGAGCCGUAGAGACAGAUCCCCUGUGAAGACAGACAAGUCCUCUGCACAGACCCUAUGGCCAGCUUUAACUCCUUCCAUAAGCCAGCAUGAUAUACCUGAUCUUCAUGCAGAAGGGACUGGAUAAAAAAUUCAGAAAGAUAUCAGUUCAUGGUCUGAUUUGUGUUGCAGCCUGGAAUUAAGCCACACCAUGUUGGUUCAUCUGGCCAGAGGAGAACUGGCCCCGACUGAGUCUGGUUUCUCCCAAGUUUGUUUGUUUCUUUGUUUUUUCUCCAUUUCUGUCACAAAUGAGGUUUGGGUUCUUUGUCACUGUCGCCGCUUGGCUUGAUAUUUGAAAAUAUUUUUGAAUUGACUGUACUGACACUGUUGGAUGAGAACUGAACUCAACUGAGCUGGAUGAUGUUUUCACUAGAGCUGCUUUAUAUAUGAAUUAAAUCAUUUCAUAAUUGAUGGACUUUACAUUGGACUUUAUUUACUGUUUACUAUUGUCUUUUUAAAGCUGCUUUACAGCAGAAUCAAAUCAUUACUUUCUCAUCAUUGUAAAGCUGCUUUGAAACAAUCUGUAUUGUAUAAAGCAUUAUAUAAAUAAAAGUGACUUGACUUUAAAAGAAACCCAGCCCUACUACAUGCUAAAUGAAUCCUUACAGUGAAACUGUACAUGUGUGGCUAAAUUGGCAUAAAAACAUGCAUUAUACAACUUUAUUUAGAUUAAUGUCAACUGAAAGAAAUGUAAUCUCAAUGGCAUUUUUGAUUCUCAGUUAUUCCACAACUUUUAAUGCUGCCACUAAUUGAUAAAACUGAAAAUCAUGUAUUAUACUUUAAAUGUUUUAUUUUAUUUGAUAUUCAAUGUUUUUAUAUUCAAAAAUUAGUUUAUUUUUUCUUGAGCAUAUUUGUUGCAGCGUCAAGCAUAUUUUUUCACUCUCAAGCUUAGUUUGUGCAUCAUUCAUUAAAGUUAUAGCUUUCUCAAAGCUGGUCGUCGCUGCAUUGCUGGUGGUGUCAGUUCUGAAUCAGCAUCUUUUGCAUUCCAUCCAGAAACAACUCCACUAACAGCUCCUUUAAAAGCACCCCCAGUGACUCUUCCGACACAAUGAACCGGAUCUGGACCCAGAGCGGUUUUUGCAAUACUUUCUAAAUUUUCUGAAAUCAGAAAUUAGUUCUGAAACUCCUUCAUCACGAGCACCUAGAAAAGCAUCAACCAGUACCAAUGUUCUUAUUCUUGCAGCCCACCUCAGAAAUGCUAUGUAAAAUGUAGAAAUGCUAUGUAAAAUGUGUACUUUGCUUCUUCAUCACGUAAUCCUGCAAUCAUUUCUUUUUUAAUUUGCUUAUCCACCUCUCUAAGUAGAUCAUUGCUGUAGCAGUUGUUAUUUUCCACCUAUUUUAUCAAUUGGUUUUCAGUUAUUUUUCCACCUUGUUUUCCUUUUUUUUUCUAUUCCAGUAUUUGUCGAUGACGUGACAGCGACCUCCACAUUUAUCAGCCAGCUCUUUAAGCUUCUUCAUCACGUAAUCCUGCAAUCAUUUCUUUUUUAAUUUUGCUUUAUCCACCUCUCUAAGUAGAUCAUUGCUGUAGCAGUUGUUAUUUUUCCACCAUUUUAUCAAUGGUUUUCAGUUAUUUUUCCACCUGUUUUCCUUUUUUUUUCUAUUCCAGUAUUUGUCGAUGACGUGACAGCGACCUCCACAUUUAUCAGCCAGCUCUUUUAAUUGUGAAUUGGUCUUCACAAAUUCUUCAAUGGUCUGGCCUUCUAGUUGUUCACCAAAAGUGAAUAAGAUCAGUGUGUGUUUCAAGGCAUCCUCUGUCAAUGAGUUCAGAAGUUGUUGCACCAUCUUUUUCAUUUUUUGUGAAUCUUCCAACCUUUAGGACAAUGAUAGGUGUGAAUGCCUUCCGCGCAUUCAAUCAGAGCUUUGAGGAUCUCAGAUUUCAUCUCCUCCUCCUUGCCAUCCUCUAUGUCAAAAAAAUCAGGUGUGUCGAUAACUGUAAUUUGUUUUUUACUAACCAUGUUCUCAUUUCUCUGACAUUGAGUUGUAACAGAAUUAGCUGAUGCUUUAGUGAUGAAUACAGUUUUUCUAAGAAUCAUAUUCCCAAUGCUGCUUUUGCCAUUUCCUGUGUUUCCAAUAAGGACAAUAUUUCUCUUUGGCACUGUGUCUAAUAAUAGAAAAAAAAAAACGUGUUAAAAUGUGAGUUUUUUUCUUCUAAUUCUAAUCCUAAUAUUGUUUUUGAAACAUCUUGUGAUUGAUCGACCUAGCUCUAAUCAGCUUUGUUAAUAACAUUUUACACAGUAAAUUUGACAUUGUGCAACAAUCUGAACUUACACGUAUUUCCCAUGAUCCUUGUCUGUUGAUGGUGUCAGUGUCUGUAAAGUAAAUGACAUGCAGGUUAUUCUUGACUCUGGGCCCUUAUUCAUAUCUAGAAACAUUCAUGGGUUUUAAUCAUUUAUGAUGUUUAUUUGUCUAAGCACAUUUGAAUGCAUGUUUUCUUACUCAUUGUACUAUUCAGUAAAUUGGUGACUCUGCACUUUGCAGUAGUAUGGAUGGGAUAGAGCAGGGGUAGGCAAGUUCGGUCCUGGAGAGCCGCAGUCCUGCAGAGUUCAGCUCCAACCCUAAAAAAAAACCUCAUCUGCCUGUAGCCUUUGUAAUCCUGAAGACAUUGAUGAGCUUGUUCAUGUGUGUUUGAUUAGGGUUGAAGCUGAACUCUGCAGGACUGCGGCUCUCUAGGACCGAACUUGCCUACCCCUGGGAUAGAGGAAGUCACUUGAAAUGUGAUUUUUUUUAAGGUAAAAAAUUAUAUGCAAUAAACAAUGUAACAUUCCUUUUCAUGACAUCUCUGUCAAAUAUUUAAAUUUACGUCAUAUGUUUACAUGAUUAUUUAUAAAGAAUGAGCAUUUACUUAAUUUUCCACAAAAUGAUGUAAUAUGAGGAUGUUUGAGCACUCUCUCCCAUCUCACUAUAACAUUCAGACAAAGCAACAGAUGGAGCUCAUGGACAGAAAACCAGAGUUAUAU
rnacentral:lncRNA from 1 species